UACGGGGGGGGCAAGCGUUGUCCGGAAUUAUUGGGCGUAAAGCGCGUUCAGGCGGUUCGGCAAGUCGGGCAUGAAAUCUCUCGGCUCAACCGGGAGAGGUUGUCCGAUACUGUUGGACUUGAGGGCAGUAGAGGGUGGUGGAAUUCCGGGUGUAGUGGUGAAAUGCGCAGAUAUCAGGAGGAACACCGGUGGCGAAGGCGGAUCUCUGGGCCUUACCUGACGCUGAGGCGCGAAAGCUAGGGGAGCGAACAGG
rnacentral:rRNA from 1 species